UACGAAGGGGGCUAGCGCUGCUCGGAAUCACUGGGCGUAAAGGGUGCGUAGGCGGGUCUUUAAGUCAGGGGUGAAAUCCUGGAGCUCAACUCCAGAACUGCCUUUGAUACUGAGGAUCUUGAGUUCGGGAGAGGUGAGUGGAAACUGCGAGUGUAGAGGUGAAAAUUCGUAGAUAUUCGCAAGAACACCAGUGGCGAAGGCGGCUCACUGGCCCCGAUACUGACGCUGAGGCACGAAAAGCGUGGGGGAGCAAACAGG
rnacentral:rRNA from 1 species